UGGAUCAGACCGGAUCUCUGACCAUCAAAAACACCAGAACCACAGACUCUGGACUUUAUAAGCUACAGGUGCAAGGUACAAACAUACCGACCAAACACAGGAAGUUUCGUGUUACGGUCGAUGAAUCUGGGUUGUCCACAGGCAUUAUAGUGCUGAUAUGCGUGUGUGUUAUUGCACUGAUCUUGGUGGUGGUUGGGAUUUGCUGUCGGAAACGAAGUCGACAAGGCCAGUAUUAACUUUGCAUGCAUGGCCAGUAUUAACCAAAGUGAAGAUAAAGGAAAUGGGGUACAGGAUCCAUUGAAAGGACAGCAAUAGUUCAGUGCUUCUGUAACAUAAGCUGGGGAUGAAAUCAACCUGUGUGCUGCCGAGUUGUGAUAGAGAAUAGAGAAUAUGCUUACAUAUGUUGUACAUUCGUUGGAACAGUUUGCACUACAUGCUGAUCAAUGAUCCUAUUACUUUAUGGUGCACUUCUUUUUUUGCGUAUAAUUAUAAGAUAUCGUACCUGUUAUUGAUACAUAUAUAAUCAUGGUGACUGGUGGGACCAUUGACUGCAGCUUUAAAAGUUUUAGGUGCAAAUUCUUUAGAUCACCUGACAUCUGCAGGUGUCAUUUAAAAAAAAAAAUAAUAAUAAAGUUUUCCUUAGUGAUUGAUUCAUGCUUUAAAGGGGAUUAUAAAAGGAGAUUGUGUGAUAGAUGUUUUCUUCAUGUGCAAACGACUUAAGGGAUGAGCCUGUUUUGUGGUUAAAAUCUGCAAAUGCAUUUUUUUUUCCAUAGUGUUAUGGAAACUUUGUGCCUCUUUUUUUAUGUUUUUAAGAUCUACAUUUUACUGUUACUCUGAUACUGUGUUUACAUGGGGACAGAUUAUGAUCAACUCUUGUGAACAGUGAUUUGGGUGUUGAAUGUUUCCUGUUAUGUAGGCCCACAUAUUUCUUUUUUAAUUAUUAUUAUUGUGAAAUUCAAGCUUUUUUUUAAUCAUUGAGAUUCAUAAGUAAUAUGAAUUCCAAAGUAAUUGCACUUAUUGUAAUAAUUCAUUGAAUUACCCCCCCCCCCUUUUUAUGUUGUUCGGCUGCUAGGUUGUAAUUGAAAAUCUUGAU